GCUCGCGGGAGCGGGCGCAACAAAUACACUACGCAUGAUGCCGUUUUCCUCCACGCGCUGAACCAAGAUUACUGCGCGUGUGAUUAUCGCGCGGAUGCUGGAGCGCCCAUUUCGGCUCCCCGCACACAAAAAAGCGGUUUUUCCAGCGCGCGGCUAACACAGCGCGCCUGUUGGAUAUGCUCUAAGCAUACUGCCCAAGUAACCUGAUCGAGGAAAUCUCGCCUGCCCCGUCUCAAACACCUCAUUAGGUAGUCGCAUGCGAGUUAACUCGCUUGCCCGACCCAUCUCGGAUCCUGGGGGCGAGCUCAGCCGAGCUCGCCGAUUUCCCUCUCCGUGAUGGCUACUUCCGCCACCACCCCACUGCACCCCAAAACUCUGCGCCGUCUACAACUACUUCAGGUAGGCAGUGCAGUGACCCGCCCCUCUUCUGCUACUCCGCCUCCAAUGUUGCUCUCUCCGAUAACCUCGCAUCCCUCUCGCCGUCUUGCUUCACCAUUAGGACUAUGCCCUGCUACCCUCCUCCCCAUCACGCUGGUAAAUCAGUUCAGUUUCACAAAGAAGCCUGCCAGCCUGGAACAGCCCGAUGAAUCACCCUGGUGUCAAUAUGCUUUCUCCGUUGUGUACACCAUAUCAUCUGCGAAAAGUAGUUAAUUUGGUACACAAAUCUCAAACUUUGCAUCCCGAUCAAUGGUGGUAAUUAUUUCAAACUUCCAUGCUUUCAUGGAAGAAUAGUUCUGUUCCCAAAGUACCAUGUUUGUGCUACUUUGUUAUUUAGCAUCUAAACUACAUUACAGUUUGAACUCUAUGCAUUUUGCUUCCAUAGGUUAUUUUUCUUUUGUAUCCAUUUGUACGCUAGUGACACAAUCAUCCAUACCCUUAUUACCCACAAUAUUAGUUGGCUUCAUUUUUAAUUGUUGUAUGCUUCCAUUCGAGCUGCUGUAACAGAUGUUCUAUUUAGAGCCAUGCAUCGUGCAACUUCCACUAGUAGAAAACAGGGCUUUGGUCUUAGCCAGAUCAGAGCAUUAGUCCCGAUCGAGUUACAAACCGGGACUAACGGGUGCAUUAGUCCCGGUUCGAGCGGCCAGGGCGUCGGCUGAGCCUCGGCAGGCACCAGUCUCGGUUCGUCUGACCUCUUUAGUCAUGGUUCCAGACACGAACCAGGACUAAAGGGCCUCGCUCCUGGCGCAGCCUUUUUAGUCCCGGUUGGUGGCUGGAACCGGGAACAAAGGUCAGUCUUCUGUCCCGGUUCUAGCCACCAAACGGGGGUAAAGAGAUGCCUAUAUAUAUGCUCGGCCCUGCCUGCUCACUCCUCUAUUUUUUGGCUGUUCGGCGUGUGGGAGGUGUGUGCUGCUCUACUCUCACCUCCUGUUCACAUGAGGUGUUCGAUCAAAUGCCUGAGCCACACUUAAGCUUUCUCCUCUUCAAACUUGACCUUCAAGCUACAUUUUCCCCAAGAUUUGUCUAGGUUUGGCGGUGCACCAAAUACAAAAGUGUUCUAAAAGGGUGUCAUCCCGUCCCCGUCCCUGUCCUCACCGCCAUCGAUCGUCUGCACCGAUCUCGUCGCCGGCACCACCAUGGUGAGCCUCUUGUUCUUAUCUUCGUUUUAAAAGGAAACAAUUCUUACUUAUGAUUUACAAAGCUACUUGUAUAAUUUUCUAACUGUUAUUAAUGUUUGUUAUUAUAUAGUGCCAUGGUUUUGGUAUCC